rnacentral:rRNA from 1 species
CGUCCCGAUUUAUCGGGAUGCGGGGCAGACGGCUGAGUAACACGUGGGAAUCUACCCUGGACACGAGAAUAACCCCGCGAAAGCGGGGACAAUGCUCGAUAGUCUGUACGGAUCUUCGGAUUUUGUAUAGUAAAGCUCCGGCGGUCCAGGAUGAGCCCGCGGCUUAUCAGGUUGUUGGUGGGGUAAAGGCCUACCAAGCCGAUGACGAGUAGCCGGUCUGAGAGGACGGACGGCCAGACUGGGAUUGCGAGACGGCCCAGACUCCUACGGGAGGCAGCAAUUAGGAAUCGUGCGCAAUGGGCGAAAGCCUGACGCCGCGACAUCGCGUGGAGGAUUGAAGGCUCUAGGGUCGUAAACUCCUUUUAUACACGAACAAGUUCUGAGUGUAGUGUAUGAAUAAGCGCCUGCUAACCACGUGCCAGAAGCAUCGGUAAUACGUGGGGCGCGAGCGUUAUCCGGAUUUACUGGGCGUAAAGAGAUGCGUAGGCGUCUUUCCAAGUCACUUGUUAAAUCUUCCGGCUCAACCGGGAAACUGCAAGUGAUACUGG